GACGAACGCUGGCGGCGUGCUUAACACAUGCAAGUCGAACGGUGAAAGCGGAGCUUGCUCCGCUGGAUCAGUGGCGAACGGGUGAGUAACACGUGGGCAACCUGCCCCUGACUUCGGGAUAACUCCUCGAAAGAGGUGCUAAUACCGGAUACGAAUCCUGCAGGCAUCUGCGGGAUUGGAAUGUUUUUCGGUCAGGGAUGGGCCCGCGGCCUAUCAGCUUGUUGGUGAGGUAGUGGCUCACCAAGGCGACGACGGGUAGCCGGCCUGAGAGGGCGACCGGCCACACUGGGACUGAGACACGGCCCAGACUCCUACGGGAGGCAGCAGUGGGGAAUCUUGCGCAAUGGGCGAAAGCCUGACGCAGCGACGCCGCGUGGGGGAUGAAGCCCUUCGGGGUGUAAACCCCUUUCGACCCGGACGAAUCGCCCGCAAGGGAAUUGACGGUACGGGUAGAAGAAGCCCCGGCUAACUACGUGCCAGCCGCCGCAGUAA
rnacentral:rRNA from 1 species